AAGUAGCAAAGAAAGAACCAGCCACCCUAGUACUGUACAGUCGUUCAAAACGGCACACGAAGCAAAACCCAAGAAAUGGGUGUUUAAUUUGAAAGAACAACUGCGGAAAGAUUCUGAGACUCUGCCCCAGCCUUCUCUAUGAGGUCACUGCCUGUGACAUCAACACCCUGUCCAAGGUGUACAAGAGUCAUUUUGCAAGCAGCCACAACAAAUCUUCAUCUUCCUCUGAAGCUGUUUUCACCUGUCCUCCCUCUUCCAAGUUUCUGAUACCUCAGGUUACAGCUAUAAGAUUUAAUACUGAUCAGCAGACCACAGAGAUUGUAACUUAAAAAAUGGAGAUGAGGACCAAGCCAGCUUGCCCUGAUCCUGAGGCCUAUAAGGAACAUGUGGGGAACUCACAUUAAUUUUAUAAGUAUUAGUAAACUUUUAUACCACUCCAACAGCAUGCAGUUCACAACCCAUCAGAACUUAAGUAGUACAGUCAUACCAACAAGAAAAUGCAACAAAUGCAAUAAAAACCAUACAAAGCCUGUGUAGAAAGGAGAUCACGGUCCCGCACCCCAGCCCUGACAACCAACCUACUGGCUGCCAUUACUAUAUCCCCCUCCUUGAGCAUCCCUGACCAUUUUAUACAGAAUGGCUGAACAGAGUUUCCUUUACAUAUACCCUUGGCAGGGCUGAGGAUGAGCUGUAGGAAGAACUAUUUCUGUUUCUGAAAGGCAUUUAUUUCUAGUGCUCAGGAAGGUCGGCAACACCUUGGAAAUUAGACCAGGAAACGAUCAGAAUUUCAUACUCCAUGCUGCUAUAACAGCCUUUAACCCCUCCGGGGAUCCUGGUGAGAGACCACCUCGGAUCAAGCCACCAAUCCCCCUGCACGACUAGAUUUAACCAGCUUUCCUCACUCAGGUGGAGUCAACGCCCAGCCGAGCCGCUGGGAUUGGGGCGGGGGGGGAAGACUGCUUCUCCCCCCCACUCACUCAAGGGAUCGCCCGCCUGGACAGAGAACCAGCCCCACAGAGAACCGCCCACCACCCCCAAACCCGGGGUGGGUGAGGGGCGCUCAGUUCCCCUCGCGGUCCGCCCAGCCAGCCCCCUCCUCCUCCUCCUCG